UCCUUCUCUAUUGGCGCACGGAGUGUUGUCCCCAGCAGGGAGCACCAAUCACGGCUCCUUGCUUGCAGCCUAUGACCUGGCGUCAUGCCAUUGGGUCUCUGGCCGCACACCCACGCACUCACGUGCAGGGGUUGGUGGGACGCUGGACGGCGAUAGCGUCGCCUAUGGAUGACGUCACACAUCGCCGCCCAGGGAUCCUUACAAAAGCGGCUGAGAAAGCCGCUUCUGUGAGAUAGCACGGACGCUCUCCCUGGGGACACACGUGGGAAAUCAUCAGCCACGCUGGAAUCAGUGCAUUGCACUGCCUAUACCCUGGCAGUUGAGCUAACCUUAUAAUUGACUUACCAAGGCUGUCCUCCUGUGCCCCAGUAAAAUUGGAUAUACUUAUUUUAUGUAUAGCUAUGAGCCCGUUCUAAACAAAUAUAUCCCCCUCCUUGCGCCAAAGAAGGUAUUCAACUGGGUCUCCGGCUUGAUCAAUUGACCAGUCUGGGUGAGUUUUUCACUCCAUUAUAAGGCAUGCUACUUAGAUUAUAUUAUAAAAUAUUUACAACCAUUGUAUAAACUUGC